rnacentral:rRNA from 1 species
UCUACGGGAGGCAGCAGUGGGGAAUAUUGGGCAAUGGAGGCAACUCUUACCCAGCAAUGCCGCGUGAAUGAAGAAGGUCUUCGGAUUGUAAAGUUCUUUAAUUGGGGACGAAAAAAAUGACGGUACCCAAGGAAUAAGCCCCGGCUAACUACGUGCCAGCAGCCGCGGUAAUACGUAGGGGGCAAGCGUUGUUCGGAAUGACUGGGCGUAAAGGGUGUGUAGGCGGUGUAGCAAGUUAGAAGUGAAAUACCUAGAGCUUAACUCAGGUGCUGCUUCUAAAACUGCUAUACUUGAGUGCAGUAGAGGAAAGUGGAAUUCCUGGUGUAGCGGUGAAAUGCGUAGAUAUCAGGAGGAACACCGGUGGCGAAGGCGGCCUGCUGGACUGCAACUGACGUUGAGGCCCGAAAGCGUGGGGAGCAAACAGGAUUAGAUACCCCUGUAGUC